CCUACGGGAGGCAGCAGUGAGGAAUAUUGGUCGAUGGCCGGAAGGCUGAACCAGCCAUGCCGCGUGAAGGUCAGUGCCCUAUGGGCGUUAAACUUCUUUUGUGCGGGAGCAAUACUGGUCACGUGUGGCCAGACGAGAGUACCGUACGAAUAAGCAUCGGCUAACUCCGUGCCAGCAGCCGCGGUAAUACGGGGGAUGCAAGCGUUAUCCGGAUUUAUUGGGUUUAAAGGGUGCGUAGGCUGUGAGGUAAGUCAGCGGUGAAAUGCCCCCGCUCAACGGGGUGAAGUGCCAUUGAUACUGCCUGGCUGGAAUGCGGAUGCCGUGGGAGGAAUGUGUGGUGUAGCGGUGAAAUGCAUAGAUAUCACACAGAACACCGAUUGCGAAGGCAUCUCACGAAUCCGCGAUUGACGCUGAUGCACGAAAGCGUGGGUAUCAAACAGGAUUAGAUACCCCAGUAGUC
rnacentral:rRNA from 1 species